rnacentral:lncRNA from 1 species
GUUUUGGAUUUCUAAAACUCUAUCUCAUAGAAUUCGAAAUCCAAACUUAUUCCUUUUAGAUUUGAUCCAAACCACCUUCCAUGCAAGAAAGAAGAGAGGAGACCUUUUGUGAACAUGGGAGAGACCUGGGAGAGGGCUUUUGUUGCACAAAAUAAGAGGAGAUUGGUGUUGAAUGAGAGAGAGGGCGUGGGGAAGGCUUAUGUGG